UACGGAAGGUGCAAGCGUUGUUCGGAAUGACUGGGCGUAAAGCGCACGUAGGCGGUCUUGCAAGUCGGAUGUGAAAUCCCUGGGCUUAACCUGGGAACUGCACCCGAAACUGCUUGACUUGAAUGCUUGAGAGGUUGGUGGAAUUCCAGGUGUAGGAGUGAAAUCCGUAGAUAUCUGGAGGAACAUCGGAGGCGAAGGCGGCCAACUGGCGAUGCAUUGACGCUAAGGUGCGAAAGCGCGGGGAGCAAACAGG
rnacentral:rRNA from 1 species